rnacentral:lncRNA from 1 species
GUUUCAGCAGGUUUGUAUUUAUAGGUGCUAUUUUCCUUGCUCCCCACUGCAGCAGUGACUGUAUAUCUACCUUGGUUGACUAUUAUCCCUUGGUGCUUUUGCUGUGAUAUACUUAAUUACAUUGUUCUGCUUUUGUCUCAGAUCAGGGCAAGGACAAAAACACAACAGUGAAGAAAUCUUUGGAGUAUCCAUCCUAUCUGCACAUCAUCCAUAGCCAUCUGAGUGCUGUUGCAGCGGCUCAACUGCACUUGUAUUGCUGGAUGUAUCUGAUGGGUUGAGGAUCGGCAGUGGUUGGAUUAGGAAAAGCAAUUGUUGUAGGAAUCUUUUGAAUCCUGCAAAAGUUUGGAUGAAACCUGUGGCAGUCACUGCAAGACCGCUCUGCUUUAAGAGAAUUGUGUGCUCCAGAAGAGCUGGAAGCUGUGAGUAAGUAUUGGCAUGUUGCGUCUCGAGCUUAUGAAUACUCACCACUGUUCCUUGUCACCUCAAGGGAGGGGAAGGUUGCUUUUUUCCUUAAUUCUAGGAAAACAGCACUUCACCAGCCCAGGAAAGGGAGAAAAGGCAUUUCAUACACCGCUAUAGGCUGGUAAACAAAAGUCACUGGAAACUCACAGCCAUGGCAGACACUUUAAAAACAAGGUCAGUUGAACUUUCUAAAUAGUCUUCUUUAUGUCAAACAGAGAAGAUCUGUAGUGUUCUGUUGUCACACCAUAUUUUUGCUCUGUUCC